UUAAGCGACUAAGCGUACACGGUGGAUGCCCUGGCAGUCAGAGGCGAUGAAGGACGUGCUAAUCUGCGAUAAGCGUCGGUAAGGUGAUAUGAACCGUUAUAGCCGGCGAUUUCCGAAUGGGGAAACCCAGUGCAAUUCGUUGCACUAUCGUUAAGUGAAUACAUAGCUUAACGAAGCGAACCGGGGGAACUGAAACAUCUAAGUACCCCGAGGAAAAGAAAUCAACCGAGAUUCCCCCAGUAGCGGCGAGCGAACGGGGAGCAGCCCAGAACCUGAAUCAGUUUGUGUGUUAGUGGAAGCGUCUGGAAAGUCGCAGGGUACAGGGUGAUACUCCCGUACACUAAAAUGCAUAUUCUGUGAGUUCGAAGAGUAGGGCGGGACACGUGGUAUCCUGUCUGAAUAUGGGGGGACCAUCCUCCAAGGCUAAAUACUCCUGACUGACCGAUAGUGAACCAGUACCGUGAGGGAAAGGCGAAAAGAACCCCGGCGAGGGGAGUGAAAAAGAACCUGAAACCGUGUACGUACAAGCAGUGGGAGCCUCUUUAUGGGGUGACUGCGUACCUUUUGUAUAAUGGGUCAGCGACUUAUAUUCUGUAGCAAGGUUAACCGAAUAGGGGAGCCGCAGGGAAACCGAGUCUUAACUGGGCGUUAAGUUGCAGGGUAUAGACCCGAAACCCGGUGAUCUAGCCAUGGGCAGGUUGAAGGUUGGGUAACACUAACUGGAGGACCGAACCGACUAAUGUUGAAAAAUUAGCGGAUGACUUGUGGCUGGGGGUGAAAGGCCAAUCAAACCGGGAGAUAGCUGGUUCUCCCCGAAAGCUAUUUAGGUAGCGCCUCGUGAACUCAUCUUCGGGGGUAGAGCACUGUUUCGGCUAGGGGGUCAUCCCGACUUACCAACCCGAUGCAAACUACGAAUACCGAAGAAUGUUAUCACGGGAGACACACGGCGGGUGCUAACGUCCGUCGUGAAGAGGGAAACAACCCAGACCGCCAGCUAAGGUCCCAAAGUCAUGGUUAAGUGGGAAACGAUGUGGGAAGGCACAGACAGCCAGGAUGUUGGCUUAGAAGCAGCCAUCAUUUAAAGAAAGCGUAAUAGCUCACUGGUCGAGUCGGCCUGCGCGGAAGAUGUAACGGGGCUAAACCAUGCACCGAAGCUGCGGCAGCGACACGAUGUGUUGUUGGGUAGGGGAGCGUUCUGUAAGCCGUUGAAGGUGGCCUGUGAGGGUUGCUGGAGGUAUCAGAAGUGCGAAUGCUGACAUAAGUAACGAUAAAGCGGGUGAAAAGCCCGCUCGCCGGAAGACCAAGGGUUCCUGUCCAACGUUAAUCGGGGCAGGGUGAGUCGACCCCUAAGGCGAGGCCGAAAGGCGUAGUCGAUGGGAAACAGGUUAAUAUUCCUGUACUCGGUGUUACUGCGAAGGGGGGACGGAGAAGGCUAUGUCGGCCGGGCGACGGUUGUCCCGGUUUAAGCAUGUAGGCGGAGGUUCCAGGUAAAUCCGGUACCUUAUUAACGCUGAGGUGUGAUGACGAGGCACUACGGUGCUGAAGUGACAAAUGCCCUGCUUCCAGGAAAAGCCUCUAAGCAUCAGGUAACAUCAAAUCGUACCCCAAACCGACACAGGUGGUCAGGUAGAGAAUACCAAGGCGCUUGAGAGAACUCGGGUGAAGGAACUAGGCAAAAUGGUGCCGUAACUUCGGGAGAAGGCACGCUGAUGGUAAGUGAAGCGACUUGCUCGUGGAGCUGAACUCAGUCGAAGAUACCAGCUGGCUGCAACUGUUUAUUAAAAACACAGCACUGUGCAAACACGAAAGUGGACGUAUACGGUGUGACGCCUGCCCGGUGCCGGAAGGUUAAUUGAUGGGGUUAUCCGUAAGGAGAAGCUCUUGAUCGAAGCCCCGGUAAACGGCGGCCGUAACUAUAACGGUCCUAAGGUAGCGAAAUUCCUUGUCGGGUAAGUUCCGACCUGCACGAAUGGCGUAAUGAUGGCCAGGCUGUCUCCACCCGAGACUCAGUGAAAUUGAACUCGCUGUGAAGAUGCAGUGUACCCGCGGCAAGACGGAAAGACCCCGUGAACCUUUACUAUAGCUUGACACUGAACACUGGUCCUUGAUGUGUAGGAUAGGUGGGAGGCUUUGAAGUGUGGACGCCAGUCUGCAUGGAGCCGACCUUGAAAUACCACCCUUUAAUGGCUGGUGUUCUAACGUAGACCCGUCAUCCGGGUUGCGGACAGUGUCUGGUGGGUAGUUUGACUGGGGCGGUCUCCUCCCAAAGAGUAACGGAGGAGCACGAAGGUUAGCUAAUCCUGGUCGGACAUCAGGAGGUUAGUGCAAUGGCAUAAGCUAGCUUGACUGCGAGCGUGACGGCGCGAGCAGGUGCGAAAGCAGGUCAUAGUGAUCCGGUGGUUCUGAAUGGAAGGGCCAUCGCUCAACGGAUAAAAGGUACUCCGGGGAUAACAGGCUGAUACCGCCCAAGAGUUCAUAUCGACGGCGGUGUUUGGCACCUCGAUGUCGGCUCAUCACAUCCUGGGGCUGAAGUAGGUCCCAAGGGUAUGGCUGUUCGCCAUUUAAAGUGGUACGCGAGCUGGGUUUAGAACGUCGUGAGACAGUUCGGUCCCUAUCUGCCGUGGGCGCUGGAGAAUUGAGGGGGGCUGCUCCUAGUACGAGAGGACCGGAGUGGACGCAUCACUGGUGUUCGGGUUGUCAUGCCAAUGGCAUUGCCCGGUAGCUAAAUGCGGAAGAGAUAAGUGCUGAAAGCAUCUAAGCACGAAACUUGCCCCGAGAUGAGUUCUCCCUGACUCCUUGAGAGUCCUGAAGGAACGUUGAAGACGACGACGUUGAUAGGUCGGGUGUGUAAGCGUAGCGAUACGUUGAGCUAACCGAUACUAAUGAACCGUGAGGCUUAACCU
rnacentral:rRNA from 1 species